CCGCGCCCUUCUAAUUCCAUCUCCUCAUCCCGCUCCGCGCUGCCCCUACCCGGUGGAGCCCAUUCCCGCCCCCGGGGCUUUCGCUUUUCAUCCGCCUCAGUGGUUGUCGUCCAGGAGCGGUUUUGACCCGCGCGGGACGUGUGACAUAUGUGGAGAGCUCUUUGGUUGUCAGACAGGUGUUUACAACUGGGGUAGUAGAUGCUACCCUCUCCUGGCAUCCAGGGGCAGUGGCCAGGGAAGGUGCCCAGCACGGCCUCACAAGGAGAUUAGCCAGCCCCAGAAGUCCACAGCACUGGUUUGGGAACACCACCUCUACUCAAAACUCUCCAUGGAACCCCUUAACUGUCUCCUCCUGUUCUCCAGGUCUUGGCUCAAAUGACGCUUCUGUGAGGCCCCCUCUGAUCCCAGGUUGCAACCCCUAAUGCUCUCUAGCCCUUAUCUUGCUUUAUUUUUCUUCAUAGCACUGUUAAGUCUGGCAUUCCAUAUGUUCUACUUUUUAGAUUGUUUUUCUUUCCCCGCUACAGUAUGAACUCCACAAAGGUAGGUAUUUUUGCCUAUUUUGUUUAUUUCUGUAUCUCAAACACCUAGAACAGCACCCAGCACUUAAUAGGUGCUCAGUGGCUAUUUGAUGAAUGUCUAAUACACAUUGCACUUACCCAGUAGUCUAGUGCUAGUUGUGCUAAAGCAUUUAAUCCUCAACAGCAUGAGGCAAAUACUAUGUUUUGUCCUCGUUCAGGGAAAGAAAUGAUGUACAGUGAGAACUCAUAAUUAACAAACGGCAGCUCUAGCAUUCAGGCCCGGACUCUUACCCCUAUAUUAUAUUGCUGAUAUGUGCUGAACUGUGGCCUCCCCUCCAAACUGGAGUCCUAAUCCUCUGGACCUCAGAAUGUGACUUUAGAUGGAGACAGGCAAUCAAGUUAAAAUGAGGUGAUUAGGAUGGGCUCUAAUCCAAUAGGACUGGUGUUCUUAUAAAAAGGGGAUAUUUGGACACAGGGACAGACAUACACAGAGGAGAUGACGUUUAGAUGCAGAGAGAAGCUGGCGAUCUACAAGCCACGCAGAGAGGCUUGCAACAGAGCCUUCCUUCACAGCAGCCCUCGGAAGGAAGCAGUCCCGCUGACACCUCGAUCUUGGGCAUCUGGCCUCCAGACUGUGAGAAAAUACAUUUCUAUUGUUUAAAAAAGCCAGUUUGCAGAAGUUUGUUAUGGCAGCCCUAGCAAACUUUUACAGCUGCCUACCAGAGCAUCUGAAUUUUAAACUUUUUAGGCAGUUGUGAGUUUAUGUAAUUUCCUACUAAGUGAAUAUGGUAAUUAUUCCCUUAUCUGAAAGCCAGGGUCAUGUUUUUGAGUACUUCAAAUGAUGUACAAUUUGAUAGUUUUUUUUUAAGCCAAGGAGCAAAAUCUUUUUAAGUUAGGUAUUCAAAUCAGCCUAGAUUUUUAUCUCUACCUUUCAUACAGUGUCAACAUUUGUACUAUAUUAACUAUGCAUGAAGUAUGUGGAAAUACACUAUCAUUUGGAUUUCUUUUGUAUAAAUAUUUCUCCCUUCCCAAUUGUCUUCUAACUUAGAUUCCAAAUGUCUUCUUUCCUCCAUCAUUCCACAUAACCCUGGAAAGAUGAGGCAUCAUAGUAAGCCUAGUGUGUGGAGCAGUGCGCUGGGUCCAGCCUGCAGAGGUGAAAUCCUAGCUCCACCACUGAUCUGUAUGACUUUACGCAAGCUACAGAAGCUCCCUGUGCCUGUGUUCCUUCUUCUAUAAAAUAGGAAUAACAAUAUUACCUAUGUCACAGGGUUGUCAUGAUGACUCAACGAAUUACAAUUUGCAAAGUUUUCAAGAGUGUCUGAUACAGAAUAAGUGUUAAAUAAUUUAAGAAAGAACAACAUAGCUAGAUGCUAACAUUGUGAUAGAAAAAUAUUACAUAAUUCUUUCCUUUAGGAAAUGAUAGUCAGGUGGGGAAGUGAAGGACCCUUACCUCAUCCAGUCAUCACUGCAAAGCAAGGACACUUUCACAGAUGAGAGAAGCGAUGCAGAAGUAAAGAGCUCUGCCUUAGGUCACAGCCUGUUCUUCCCCUCCUGCUGAUGGAGCACAUCCUGCACACAGAUGCUGCUAGACCUGAGACCCAGACGGACCCGGUGUCUGAGAGGCCCUGGGGAAGGCUGGCCCACAGCAGGUUGAUUCUGGAAAUUCCUGACAAGGAAGUCAAACCAGCUUAGGGUGAUGGCAACGCUCUUACUAUGCCUUUCAGGCGCUAGAGAAAACUGCCAGCAACCUUGGAUGAUGCUGAUGGAUUUCCGAAUUUCCCAGCUGUUUCUUCAGGAGACCCUGGGUGCUGAUGAGGCUAGCCAGCCUUCUCCAUCAGGAGACCUUCAGUGCCGUGGACACAGCCCCGGUCGCCACCGCCUCACUCCCUCUGCCAGAGGCUGAUGGCGACAGGUCAUCAAAAUAAGAGGGAGGAAAGACAAAGUAAACAGAAUCUGAGACACAGACCUGCCAGAUGACAGGAGGAAAAUUCAGAGAAUGAAUGUAACUUAAGAGAGAGAGUUAAAAGAAAUAAAAUGUGAAAAUUGUCAUGCUUCAUUGAAUACAUUUGAAUUAUAUUCUGUUUACCUCGUUUGUGUUAUUUUAAAUAUUUUCUACUGAAAAUAUGGACAGAGCAUUUUAUUAUACGUCUCCACUUAUCAAACAGGACGUUGAAUUUUAGAAAAUUACGGCUCACAACUGAGAAUGUAUCAACCUGGGAAGAGCCUUUUGUUUAGCAAAGUACUUUUAUUCUGAAAUUAAAUGUCAUCCAUCACUGCUAUUGCAUGUAAAUCUAGAGAUUUUCACCAGAAAUAAAACACUGUCUAGUUCACCUUUUCAUUCCCCUAAUGGCACCUGCACAGGAGACAAACAGAAAAUAAGUCAUGGUAGGUUGCUUCUCUGUGUUCAAGACUAGUUAGUCCAGUUCUGCACAAACCAUGGCAUUUGUAUCCGCGCAGGGGAGGCACUGCCAUCCACUGCUCCUGGGGGCGGUUCCAGCCACAGAGAA